rnacentral:lncRNA from 1 species
GGAGCUGGACGUUUCCUUCACCUGGAACAGCACUCAGUACCUUUUCCUCUGCUGCCCAACGAGCCGGCCGAAGGCGCAGGCCGAGGGGUCGAGCUGGCCCGAGAGCCUGCGGAUGUGUGUGCAUCCUGCCGGAAGCAGCAGGGCUGAGCAGGAAGUUGCAAUUACAAGAGGGCAGGGCUUCUGCAGAAGCUGAGCGGUGCUGGCUCAGAGCAGCCAGGGCUUAUCCAAGGAAGGUAUGUGCGGGGGCUCCCGGGACCAGGAAUCGAACCGGCGCCACAGCAGUGAGCCGAGCCACUGCAGCAAUAAUGCCAGAUCCUUAACCCUCAGCACCACAAGGGAACUCCUCGACUGCUUCUUAACUUUUCAAGAUAAUUAUCAUUUGGGAUGAAGUUUCUUACUCUUGAAUCAGAGCCAAGGGACCUUUUUUUUUUUUCAGUUCCUCCUCCCUGACCAGCUCCUCCUUGUUCACUUCCUCCAGAACCCCUCCAUGCAGCCUCCACGCACCUCUCUGAAGAGUGACCCAUACCUCGUCACCCACUGGCUUCAAGAUCGCCACUGACCCCCCGCCUUUUCCUGCAAGGAGCACCGCAGCCCGCAGGGUCAGCUCCAUCCUCCGGAGUCCUCCGGAUGCAGCCCGGCCUGAAGUCCUUCCUGAACACCUGUCGUCAGCAUGACAGUGGAAUCUCUCAUAAUCAGCUUCAACUGGUUCCAAGCCAGGGGACCCCCGGGCACUGGCCCAGGAUGGUUGGAGUUCACGCCGGCUUAUGCUGCUGUUCUUGCUGGUGAAUGGUGUCCCCCGCUUCUCUCACAAAUGUCCUGCUUUGGAAAAUGAGUCAUAUGG